AUGCGGGACUCAUCAGAGGCCUCGCAAUUGGAAUGAGCGCACUUUAAAUCGUUCGACGAGGAUCUAUUGGAGGGCAAGUCUGGUGCCAGCAGCCGCGGUAAUUCCAGCUCCAAUAGCGUAUAUUAAAGUUGUUGCAGUUAAAAAGCUCGUAGUUGGAUCUGGGGUUCGGGUCGGCGGUUUGCCGCUUCGGCGGCUACUGCCGUGCUCGACUCUUACUAGCCGGUGCGUCUUGCGGUGCUCUUCAUCAAGUGCCGUGGGAGCCUGGCAUGUUUACUUUGAAAAAAUUAGAGUGCUCAAAGCAGGCGAUUCCGCCUGAAUAGUGUUGCAUGGAAUAAUGGAAUAGGACCUCGGUUCUAUUUUGUUGGUUUUCGGAACUUGAGGUAAUGAUUAAGAGGGACGGUCGGGGGCAUUCGUAUUUCGGUGUUAGAGGUGAAAUUCUUGGAUCGCUGAAAGACGGACAAAUGCGAAAGCAUCUGCCAAGAACGUCUCCAUUAAUCAAGAACGAAAGUCAGAGGUUCGAAGACGAUCAGACACCGUCCUAGUUCUGACCAUAAACGAUGCCAACUAGCGAUCCGCAGUGGUUGCUAUAAACGGACUCUGCGAGCAGCUUCCGGGAAACCAAAGUGUUUGGGUUCCGGGGGAAGUAUGGUUGCAAAGCUGAAACUUAAAGGAAUUGACGGAAGGGCACCACCAGGAGUGGAGCCUGCGGCUUAAUUUGACCCAACACGGGGAAACUCACCCGGCCCGGACACUGUAAGGAUUGACAGAUCGAGAGCUCUUUCUUGAUUCGGUGGAUGGUGGUGCAUGGCCGUUCUUAGUUGGUGGAGUGAUUUGUCUGGUUAAUUCCGAUAACGAACGAGACUCUAGCCUGCUAACUAGUUGCGCCGUGUUCUUACGCGGCUGUAGACUUCUUAGAGGGACAGGUGGCGUUUAGCCACACGAAAUUGAGCAAUACCAGGUCUGUGAUGCCCUUAGAUGUCCGGGGCCGCACGCGCGCUACACUGAAGGAGUCAGCGUGUGCUAUCCGGGCUCGGAAGAGUUCGGUAACCCGUUGAAACUCCUUCGUGCUUGGGAUUGUGGCUUGUAAUUAACGCGCAUGAACGGGGAAUUCCCAGUAAGUGCAAGUCAUCAGCUUGCGCUGACUACGUCCCUGCCCUUUGUACACACCGCCCGUCGCUACUACCGAUUGAAUGGUUUAGCAAGGUACUCGGAUUGGUCUCGAUCUUGUACGAAAGUGCGGGAUCUGUGGCCGAGAAGAAGGCCAAACUUGAUCAUUUAGAGGAAGUAAA
rnacentral:rRNA from 1 species